UGUAGUGGUCCUGUAGGAGGUUGUAGUGGUCCUGUAGGUGGUUAUAGUGGUCCUGUAGGAGGUUGUAGUGGUCCUGUAGGUGGUUAUAGUGGUCCUGUAGGAGGUUGUAGUGGUCCUGUAGGUGGUUGUAGUGGUCCUGUAGGAGGUUGUAGUGGUCCUGUAGGAGGUUAUAGUGGUCCUGUAGGUGGUUAUAGUGGUCCUGUAGGUGGUUAUAGUGGUCCUGUAGGAGGUUGUAGUGGUCCUGUAGGUGGUUAUAGUGGUCCUGUAGGAGGUUGUAGUGGUCCUGUAGGUGGUUAUAGUGGUCCUGUAGGUGGUUAUAGUGGUCCUGUAGGAGGUUGUAGUGGUCCUGUAGGUGGUUAUAGUGGUCCUGUAGGAGGUUGUAGUGGUCCUGUAGGUGGUUAUAGUGGUCCUGUAGGUGGUUAUAGUGGUCCUGUAGGUGGUUAUAGUGGUCCUGUAGGAGGUUGUAGUGGUCCUGUAGGUGGUUAUAGUGGUCCUGUAGGUGGUUAUAGUGGUCCUGUAGGUGGUUAUAGUGGUCCUGUAGGAGGUUGUAGUGGUCCUGUAGGUGGUUAUAGUGGUCCUGUAGGUGGUUAUAGUGGUCCUGUAGGAGGUUGUAGUGGUCCUGUAGGUGGUUAUAGUGGUCCUGUAGGUGGUUAUAGUGGUCCUGUAGGUGGUUAUAGUGGUCCUGUAGGAGGUUGUAGUGGUCCUGUAGGUGGUUAUAGUGGUCCUGUAGGAGGUUG